rnacentral:rRNA from 1 species
AUUGAACGCUGGCGGCAGGCCUAACACAUGCAAGUCGAGCGAGCGGCGGACGGGUGAGUAAUGUAUGGGGACUGCCCGAUCGAGGGGGAUAACUACUGGAAACGGUGGCUAAUACCGCUGACUGUCGGAUAACCCAUAUGGGAUUAGCUAGUAGGUAAGGUAAUGGCUUACCUAGGCGACGAUCCCUAGCUGGUCUGUGAGGAUGAUCAGCAACACGGGGACUGAGACACGGCCCAGACUCAUACGGAGGCAGCAGUGGGGAAUAUUGCACAAGGGGCGCAAGCCUGAUGCAGCCAUGCCGCGUGUAUGAAGAAGGACCUAGGGUUGUAAAGUACUUGCAGUAGGGAGGCGUUACCGACAGAAGAAGCACCGGCUAACUCCGUGCCAGCAGCCGCGGUAAUUC